CCACGUGAUUUUCCCUAUUCCAAAAUCCUCUAUGCAAGCCAUCUAUAGAAUAAAUAAAUUUCGCAUGGGGAAUUCCAUCAAGCAGGUAGUACUCAGUGCAAGACGUAACAUGAAGAGGAAGAAGACAUAGUUGGAUGCAUCGAUUUUCUUCUGAGAAUGCAGCUGGUCAGGAGGUAAUUGUAGAUGAAAGAAGAACAAACCAUAUUGACCUCUUGACGAUCACCUGCAUCAAAUCAAACACACAUGUGUGAAACUACACGUAUGUGCUUCAGGAAAAUGUAUAAGUUCUGUGAAUGAUCAGAACUACUAUACGUAAAUAAAACACAAAAUCAUUAAUUGGUUUUGCCAACUAAUAUGUUAUUAGGAGGAUGUAUCUUAGUAAAGAUAGAAGAAGGUAGAAGGAUGCAGGUUUACCCGGCAGCAAUUUUGCUACACAAUUGAACACCAUUAAGAACCAAGAUUGAGGUCCC
rnacentral:lncRNA from 1 species